GGGCUCGCUUCAGCAGCACAUAUACUAAAAUUGGAAAGAUACAACAUUAGCACAGCUCCUGCGCAAGGAUGACACGCAAAUUCGUGAAGCGUCCCAUAUUUUU